UAAGGAAUAUUGGUCAAUGGACGCAAGUCUGAACCAGCCAUGCCGCGUGAAGGAUGAAGGUCCUCUGGAUUGUAAACUUCUUUUAUCUGGGACGAAAACGGGAUUUUUAUCUCAAUUGACGGUACCAGAGGAAUAAGCACCGGCUAACUCCGUGCCAGCAGCCGCGGUAAUACGGAGGGUGCGAGCGUUAUCCGGAUUUACUGGGUUUAAAGGGUGCGUAGGUGGGCUUAUAAGUCAGUGGUGAAAUCUCCGAGCUUAACUUGGAAACUGCCGUUGAUACUAUAGGUCUUGAAUUAUCUGGAGGUAAGCGGAAUAUGUCAUGUAGCGGUGAAAUGCUUAGAUAUGACAUAGAACACCAAUUGCGAAGGCAGCUUACUACAUAUAAAUUGACGCUGAGGCACGAAAGCGUGGGGAU
rnacentral:rRNA from 1 species